rnacentral:misc_RNA from 1 species
GAUGAAGAACGCAGCGAAAUGCGAUACUUGGUGUGAAUUGCAGAAUCCCGUGAACCAUCGAAUCUUUGAACGCAAGUUGCGCCUCAAGCCAUUAGGUUGAGGGCACGUCUGCCUGGGCGUCACAUAUCGUUGCCUGAUGCCAGUUUCCUCGUGAUGGGUGACUGUGCAGGGCGAAUGAUGGCUUCCCGUGAGCAUUGUUGCCUCAUGGUUGGUUGAAAAUUGAGUCCUUGGUAGGGAGCGCCGUGAUAGAUGGUGGUUGAGUGACGAACGAGACCCAAUCAUGUGAGACCCCUACCGAAUUUGGCCUUCAUGACCCACAUGCGUCUUUGGAACGCUCAUGACGAGACCUCAGGUCAGGCGGGGCUACCCGCUGAGUUUAAGCAUAUCAAUAAGCGGAGGA